rnacentral:misc_RNA from 1 species
CGCAGCGAAAGCUUCCAAAUCUGAGGCGUUGGUCAUUAGUCGAAGACGUCUCCCGCACCUGCCUGCUGAAUAGGCGCCACGCCAAUAAGCACCUGAGCCGCGCGCCCUUGUUCGUGGAACCAAAGAUCGCGGAUUCUAGCGUCAUCGCUUGCAGGAAGUGGAUCAGCGUCGCGGACCUUGAAUGUUGUCGGAAGAUUGACAGAGGUCCCGAAAACCAAAGCAUGCUGCUUUGGCAAUGAGGGAAGUCGCUUUAGAACGGCAUCUGAGAUAAACGGUGUCAUCUGCCGAAUAUGUGAGAGGUCAUCUGGAUUUUGGAUUCGGUGGAUCACGAAGUUUGAGCACUGCGAAAGCACCGUCUUCGAUAACUCGCUCGGUCGCUGAGAU